UGGGGAAUAUUGCGCAAUGGGGGGAACCCUGACGCAGCAACGCCGCGUGAAGGAAGAAGGUUUUCGGAUUGUAAACUUCAGCAAGCAGGGAAGAAAGAAAUGACGGUACCUGAACAAAAGCCACGGCUAACUACGUGCCAGCAGCCGCGGUAAUACGUAGGUGGCAAGCGUUGUCCGGAUUUACUGGGUGUAAAGGGCGCGUAGGCGGGCAUGUAAGUCAGACGUGAAAUACCGGGGCUCAACCCCGGGGCUGCGUUUGAAACUGCAAGUCUUGAGUGCCGGAGAGGAAAGCGGAAUUCCUAGUGUAGCGGUGAAAUGCGUAGAUAUUAGGAGGAACACCAGUGGCGAAGGCGGCUUUCUGGACGGUAACUGACGCUGAGGCGCGAAAGCGUGGGGAGCAAACAGG
rnacentral:rRNA from 1 species